GAACUGGAGAGAGACACGGGACGUGGAAAGAUAUGAAGCAUUCAGGCUUCACUGAGGACACCAGUGUAUUCAUUACCACGUGUGCUCAUUGAGGGAGACAGACGAGGAAAGAGCUUUGGAAUCCAAGAGACCUGGGUUCCAGUUCUGACCUUCCCACUAGCCGUGUAACCCUGGACGAGCUACUUAACUUCUCUGAGCCUCAUUUUCCUCCUGUGUGAAAUGGUUAGUAACAGUACUUCACUGGGAGGUUGGGAGAAAUAAGUAAGGCAAAUACGGACAACGUCUAACACUGUGGCUGGUACAAUGCCCCUAUUUAAGCGACUGACUUACUGUUAUGAGUGCCCUGGACCAACCCCCGAUUCCCUUUCUCCCCCCCACCCACCGAAGAUCGUCUAAAGCAUGCGCUGACGGCUUGGGGUAAUUUAAAAUCAGAAGCUGAAUCUGAAGGAUGCGGAGAAUUGUACGAGGAAUUAAGUGGGGCACAGGGAUUUGUUCUCAUUUCUCACCUGUUCUUUAAGUGUAGGGUGGGGUAAGCCACACGCAACCCCUGCUCAGGACCAGGCUCAGAUGAGGAGCGUAGCAAAUACCUCUUGGACUCAGAGUUCUAACUCUCUUCUUUGUCUCUGACUCCCCCUGGCUCUAAUCCAUCUUCCAUGCUGUUCUCUGCUAUCUUUCUAGAACAGAUCUGUCCACGUGACUCCCAAGUUCCAGACGUGGCCAGGUUUGUUCCCCGUGGCAGGAUCUGAAAUCUCUCCCUCCUCCCCCCAGCUCAACUGCUUGGCUGCAGCAGGCCAUCUCUUUCUUAACCCGAAAGUUCUGGUAUGUGGAGGAUGUGGGAGGAUGUCAAGGCAGGAGGGGGAUUUGGGAGAUCAUUGUGGUUCCUCAUUUAACAGUUGAGGAGAUUCAGCCCCAGAGAGCGAUGGGGGCAUAUGCAAGGCUGCACAGCCGAUGGUGAUCCUGGGAUUUCCCCACUGGGUUAAUCCAGGCAGCCUUGGGGGAUUUGCCUGUGGUUUGGAGAAGGAGUGGGGUAUUGGCGGCAAAGGCGAGCGAGGCAGAGGAAGAGAGCCUUCGGGGUGGCCCCAGACUGUCAGAAGCAUGCAGUUACUGGAGACAUGGCUCUACUGAGACAAUCGGGGUGGUGUUGCCUGAGCACCCCUGAGCCUUUGCUGGGGAACGUGGCUCUCUGCUCUGCAGCUCGGGUGCUGGUACUCGGAAAUCUCGAAUUUUGCCUGGACCGGACCCCUGCAAUGCCAUCAUUCCCUGUCACGGCGUGUGGGAAAGGGAGGAGAUAUGAGGAAUACCUUACUGUGGGAUGGGGAGGGUUCGAUGAAUCCACAAACUAGCCUAGAGCAGGCCCUGUGACAGCAGAGGCCACUCAUUUUCAGGGACUUAGGUCCCUUUGCCAAAGAUCGCAGCGAAGGUGCGACGCCUUUUGCGUGACUUGAAUGGGCCACUCUCUUGUCCUCGUACCUCGUAGAGCAGUUCCACUUCCUCCAGGGAGCUCUGCAGGACGGGAUUCAGGGGCAUGGACGAGGACCUCUUUGGCCGAUGCGCAGCAGGAAAGAGCAUGGCUGCAAGAGACAAGAGUUAGUUCGAGAGGCUGCUUGUGCACAUGGCCUUCUCCCCACCGGUGACCUGGAGGUGGGCCGGCCCGGCCCGUCUUGAAAGCGACUGACGCCACGUGGUGGUGGACGUGAAGCAGGGAGAGGUGACAGACGACUCUGGUGCGCCCCAGAGGGCUCCCAGGCAUGUCCCACGUUACUAUUUCAGACCAGUGAUUUCGAACCCGCUGCUCGUCAGAAUCAUCCCGGAAAGUUUUGAAAAACUAGAUGCCUAGGCAUGUGGAUACCUUAGGGAAUUUACGUAAAGCAAAAUAAAACAAAACAGAAAUGAGCAGACAGCCCUCCCUGCUGCCCCCCCGCCCCGCCCCCAGUUCAACAAAUGAGUUCUCUAAUAACGCCGUUCCCUUUGUUAAUACGAAAUGCUGGUUUAUAUUUAUUGACAACCCUUUUAAUCAGAGGAUCAGACUUCUGGCUGUUCCCCAGCCAUCUGAAAUCGAGCUGCCAAGACUCUGGACACAGGUGACAAAGGAAAGGCGGACAGCCGCCACAAGCCCCUGACACUUGGCCCUAGGGGUGUGUGAAGCAGAGCUCAGGGCUUCCCCUGGGGGCGGGCUGAGAGGGGCACGUGGCGUGCCGUCAUGGGUCUGCCAAUGUUUUUGGAGAUACUGCAUUUGGAGGCGGUUCCUGGAGGAAGACGGAUGAGCUGAGGGGUGGAGGGGGUGGCAGAAUUAGGAACUGACAGAGGGCAGGUGAAGAAGACAGACUAAGUUAGGGUAUGGGUGUAAUCGUUAUGAAUCCCAGUUCUCCAGGAUGGUCUUGGGUAGGAGCAGACAGCCCCGUUCACCCCACAGCCCCACCUUGUACCAGGGCGCCACGCAGAAAUGAUUGGUAACCCUGCUGCCUGCAAAUAAAAGAAGGGACCCUCUUCUUCAAGACACUUGCUUGUGCCCUGCCAGAAAACUGGGGAAACAACUGUAAACAUCCAAGCCGUGUCCAGCCCACUCUUCCAGGAUGCGAAUGUGCCCACGAGGACCACUCUGUGCCACCAGGGGCCGUUGGAGACUUCCACGUCUCCUUGCGCAAAGGUCUCCUGUAUGGCUGGUCGCAGGGCAGGAAGACCAUGGGCUUCUCCCCAGUUCCCUGACUCCCUGGACAAACGAGCCUUCGGGGGGAAAUUGAGGCUCUGUGAUAGGACAGACCAGCACAGAGCAAAUGACUCACUUGCUAAACAUUAUGCCCGUGCACCAAGACAGCCCGGGAACAGAGUCCAGAGAUUCGAGCGUCAUGUGUCGGGGCUUGUUCGUUCUGUCCACGUCUUCUGCUGAGAGACACAUCUGGGCUGCGGACCAAAGUUGUUAAAAUGUGGAGCUCAGAUACGAUAACUGUGCACGAGCCCACUGUGUGCUCAUCGGCGUGCUUUGGGCUUUCCACACGUACCUUGUGAGACAGGUUAGCUCCCCUCAGCCCCCCAAGUGGAGCUCUGGCAGGCCCUGGGGGCGCAGGGAGUUGGGCCAGGCAUGUCCGGCUUCUACGCUGGCCUCCCGAACCACAGAUUUCUAAUUGCAUUUGAGAAAGAAUAAUGAGCAUCAAAUAAAUACAGAGCAACUUACCCCUGCUCCACCUGUGGGACACCGCCGCCUGAGCAUCAUAACACAACAGCAGAAGCAGCAGCGUGUUCCAACACAU